rnacentral:miRNA from 1 species
GAGGGCGAGGAGAGGAGGAA